rnacentral:rRNA from 1 species
GCAUAACAUAUUUUUAUGGCAUCGUAGAAAUAUCAAAUAUUUAUAGGAUUAAGAUGGGCAUGCGGAACAUUAGCUAGUUGGUAAGGUAACGGCUUACCAAGGCUACGAUGUUUAGGGGAUCUGAGAGGAUGACCCCCCACACUGGUACUGAGACACGGACCAGACUCCUACGGGAGGCAGCAGUAAGGAAUAUUGGUCAAUGGGCGCAAGCCUGAACCAGCCAUGCCGCGUGCAGGAAGACGGCCCUAUGGGUUGUAAACUGCUUUUGUACCGGAAUAAACCCUUUUACGAGUAGAAGGCUGAAUGUACGGUAAGAAUAAGGAUCGGCUAACUCCGUGCCAGCAGCCGCGGUAAUACGGAGGAUCCAAGCGUUAUCCGGAUUUAUUGGGUUUAAAGGGUGCGUAGGCGGCCAAUUAAGUCAGGGGUGAAAGACGGUAGCUUAACUAUCGCAGUGCCUUUGAUACUGAUUGGCUUGAAUCCACUUGAGGUAGGCGGAAUGUGACAAGUAGCGGUGAAAUGCAUAGAUAUGUCACAGAACACCAAUUGCGAAGGCAGCUUACUAAAGUGGCAUUGACGCUGAGGCACGAAAGCGUGGGGAGCAAACAGGAUUAGAUACCCUGGUAGUCCACGCCGUAAACGAUGAUAACUAGCUGUC